UUAUAUAAUUUUACUUAUGUCUAAUGAGUUCCUCAUUACCCCCAAGAAUUUCAUAUUUACCCCACUUGGGGCUAGAAUGAAUGG